rnacentral:tRNA from 2 species
GGUCGCUUAGCUCAGUUGGUUAGAGCGUGGUGCUAAUAACGCCAAGGUCGGCGGUUCGAAACCGCCAGUGAUCA